rnacentral:rRNA from 1 species
UUGGAGGGCAAGUCUGGUGCCAGCAGCCGCGGUAAUUCCAGCUCCAAUAGCGUAUAUUAAAGUUGUUGCAGUUAAAAAGCUCGUAGUUGAACCUCGGGGUCUACCCAUUGGUCAGGCUUAAUUGUCUGCACUGGUGAGAUGGAUCCCUACCUUCUGAGGAACUUUCAUGCCAUUCAUUUGGUGUGAUGGGAAAUCAGGACUGUUACUUUGAAAAAAUUAGAGUGUUUAAAGCAGACUAUCGUCUGAAUACAUUAGCAUGGAAUAAUGAAAUAGGACGGACUGAUUCUAUUUCGUUGGUUUCUAGGAUCACCGUAAUGAUUAAUAGGGAUAGUUGGGGGCAUUAGUAUUCAAUUGUCAGAGGUGAAAUUCUUGGAUUUAUUGAAGACUAACUACUGCGAAAGCAUUUGCCAAGGAUGUUUUCAUUAAUCAAGAACGAAAGUUAGGGGAUCGAAGACGAUCAGAUACCGUCGUAGUCUUAACCAUAAACUAUGCCGACUAGGGAUCGGACGAAGUUAAUUUUAUAAUGACGCGUUCGGCGCCUUACGGGAAAC